UGAAAAGUUGCAGCCACACACCUGCCGAUGCCCAGGGAUUCCUCCCAGCAGUGCUCGCGGGGCCAGAUGGGGUUCUGAGGAUCAAGCCAGACUGGCCACGUGCCUCAAAAAAAGUGUGCAGAUCCCGCAGGAAAACACAGCUGCGCCUCUCUCCCCAAGGAAGCAGAUGGGACAAACGCCAUGGAGAUAAGCCAGGGGCCGCCCAGAGGAGGUCUUUUUGGAUUUGGCACGCCCAGGUCCCUCGGCUGCAAACUGGCUGCCCGCGCCCAGGAAUCCGGAGGAUCAGCCUGGGGCCAUUCUCGGCACAGUCCCACCUGAAGCUGGCUGGGCGGGGUCUAAAAGGCUCCUCCGAGUCUGGGGAAGUAACCCCUUAAUAGCAGACACAAGACAAGGGUGUGGCUCGGGGGCUCAGGGGGAGAACCCUCAGUGCCAGUGCCACGGUCCCCACUAAAGGCUUCCCACCCGGCCACAGGCCACUGUCUCCUGAGCCCCAGCUCCCACA